GGACUCUGAGAGAAGAGCUUUGCUCUGCUUGGUCAGAAGAAAAGAAAAGAAAGGGGUGGGCGUUAAGGGCACUGGGCCCAAAGUGGUCUCAGUCUCCUGUCACUGCCCCGUCACGAUGCUGGGGAAUCUCCCAGCCAAGAACCCAGCCCCCACCCCUCCCACACACUGGGGACGCUGGACAAAGACCUGACGGAGUGGGAGGGGCCUGCGGGCCGGCCCUCGGGCUCCGGACACCGGAUCCUGCAGGGUCCCGAACCCGCAAAUCCUAGCUUCCCACUCCCCCCCAACCUCGCAGACUCGCCCCACAACCAGCUGUUCGCUACUUGCUGCAGCCAGUGCACCCAAGGGCGAGCCCAAGCGGGUGCCGUCGACGGCGGGGAGAAGGUCCCUGCUCCGCCCGCCCCUUCCCCCCGGGAAGUGACCCUGGACUCCACGCACCCGUUCGGGUCUCUUGCAGGCUUUGCCCUUCGACCCCCACCUCUCUGAUCCUCGCGACCCGCAGCUCCCGCCCUCUCCCGCCCUCGCACUGCCGGGCAUCGGCGGACAAAGCUCCGGACACCGCACGGUCACCACCCCCUGACCCCGACCCGCCCGCGCUCCUCAACCCGGGCCCGCAGCCCCGUACCUCGGCAUCCCGGCCGGGUCCUAGCAUCACUGAUGCCUGAAUACACUCACUGCUGGGAACAGAGGCUUGAACGAAGCCUCAGUGCUCUGGGGAGAAAACUCACUAUAGGAAAAGAGGACAAACAGUGCAGGAAGGGGCCUCACAUGGGUGAAGGCUUGUGAAGGCCAGGAAAUGAGGACCACUGAGGACCACUUUGCAGGUUGCCUACAACACCCACUAUUACCUCCCAGGUUAUGCCCCAUUCUGGCACUCUUGCUCCAGGCAUCCGAGCUUCUCACUCUACCCUAGACACAUCACAUACUUUGAGACUCACAAGUCUUUGUGGGUGCCAUUCCUCCUGCCCUGGAACACCACAGCUCUUCUUGCAGAGAACUUCCAUUUCUCCACCAAGCCCCAAGCCACAGACUCUGGCAUUUUCUUGACCUUUCCAGAGACACUGACCUCAGAAUGAAGAAGAAAGGAGAAAAAGAAGAAGAAGGAAAAGGGGUCUGGAAUGGCGAGUCAUUGUGCAGGCACCAAGCCCCAGCAGUAACCCUGGUGGCAAAAAAGAAAGGAAAAAAAGGGUGGUGGCACAGUGGAUAGAUAAAGUAUUGGACACUCAGGUAUGAGGUCCCAAGUUAAAUCCCCAGCAAUGCAUUUGCCAGACUGAUACUCUGGUUCUAUAAGUAAAUAAAUGUCAAAAAAUUCUUAAU